rnacentral:lncRNA from 1 species
AUGAGACACAUGAUUGGUAUCAGUUUAAAUAGACAGCAGGAAGGACUUGACUGGUAUUGUAAUGAGUUGGUACUGAGCUCUUUGUUAACAUUGGCCCCAUGGAUGUUAUUUCAAUGUGAUUUAGUUGCAGGACCUGGAGAGAUGAAGGCUGAUUCUGGAACUUGGCACAUUCAGAAUCUUUACCUGUGGGACUCUGUAUGGGGCACUUGUAUUCAUCACUUCAGAAACCCCUGUCCAAGUACAGAACAAAGCCCAGGACUGAAGGUAUCUGUAUUUACCAUGCCGCAGCAUACUACCUCACACACCUCUCUUGUUACUGCACUAUGAAGUCCUGGGAGUUAUGGAGCCAAAUAUAUGUAAGAAUCAUUGUUAAAAGGAUAUACGGAGGUUAUUCUUGUGAAUGGCUUGGAUGAUUGCACUUAUGUAGUGGGUUUUCCUCUGGUCAGUGUAACCACCUUGUCACUGAAGAUGACUGAGAUGGGGAAAUUUGGGUUUGCCUACUUUCUUUAGAAGCUGUCCAUGAUGCUGUCUUUCUAAGGGAGAAGCCUAUAGUAUGUGGUUCAAAAGAUUCUUCUCAACCAGUUCCCAGUGACUGUCUAGUUAGCAAUGAUGAUGACAAAUGUUUAUGGAGAACCUCAUGCCGAGGUUCCAUCCUAGAUUCUGGGCAUCCACUGGUGAAAUAAAACAGAGAUGAUACUUACCUUUGUGGCA